AACCUCCGCAAUGUGAGAAAUCGCGACGGGGGGAUCCCAAGUGCCAUUCUUAACGGGAUGGCUUUUCAUUAGUGUAAAGAGCUUUUGGAAUAAGAGCUGGGCAAGACCGGUGCCAGCCGCCGCGGUAACACCGGCAGUUCUAGUGGUAACAAUUUUUAUUGGGCCUAAAGCGUCCGUAGCCGGUUUAAUAAGUCUCUGGUGAAAUCCUGCAGCUUAACUGUGGGAAUUGCUGGAGAUACUAUUAGACUUGAGACCGGGAGAGGUUAGAGGUACUCCCAGGGUAGAGGUGAAAUUCUGUAAUCCUGGGAGGACCGCCUGUUGCGAAGGCGUCUAACUGGAACGGUUCUGACGGUGAGGGACGAAAGUUAGGGGCGCGAACCGGAUUAGAUACCCGGGUAGUCCUAACUGUAAACGAUGCGGACUUGGUGUUGGGGUGGCUUUGAGCUGCUUCAGUGCCGAAGGGAAGCUGUUAAGUCCGCCGCCGGGGAAGUACGGUCGCAAGACUAAAACUUAAAAGGAUU
rnacentral:rRNA from 1 species